AUUGAACGCUGGCGGCAUGCCUUACACAUGCAAGUCGAACGGUAACGCGGGGGCAACCCUGGCGACGAGUGGCGAACGGGUGAGUAAUACAUCGGAACGUGUCCUGUUGUGGGGGAUAACCCAUCGAAAGGUGAGCUAAUACCGCAUGAUCUGGAGACAGCAAAGCAGGGGACCGGUAACGGCCUUGCGCGAUUGGAGCGGCCGAUGUCCGAUUAGCUAGUUGGUGGGGAAAGCCCACCAAGGCAACGAUCGGUAGCUGGUCUGAGAGGAUGAUCAGCCACACUGGGACUGAGACACGGCCCAGACUCCUACGGGAGGCAGCAGUGGGGAAUUUUGGACAAUGGGGGCAACCCUGAUCCAGCCAUGCCGCGUGAGUGAAGAAGGCCUGGU
rnacentral:rRNA from 1 species